ACGAACGCUGGCGGCAGGCCUAACACAUGCAAGUCGAACGCUCCGCAAGGGGAGUGGCGCACGGGUGAGUAACACGUGGGACCUACCUUCUGGUACGGAACAACCAAGGGAAACUUUGGCUAAGACCGUAUACGACCUCCGGGUGAAAGAUUGAUCGCCGGAAGAGGGGCCCGCGUCCGAUUAGGUAGUUGGUGAGGUAACGGCUCACCAAG
rnacentral:rRNA from 1 species